rnacentral:rRNA from 1 species
CAGCCGCCGCGGUAAUACGUAGGGUGCGAGCGUUAAUCGGAAUUACUGGGCGUAAAGCGUGCGCAGGCGGUUUUGUAGGACAGGCGUGAAAUCCCCGGGCUCAAUCUGGGAAUGGCGCUUGUGACUGCAAAGCUAGAGUGCGGCAGAGGGGGAUGGAAUUCCGCGUGUAGCAGUGAAAUGCGUAGAUAUGCGGAGGAACGCCGAUGGCGAAGGCAAUCCCCUGGGCCUGCACUGACGCUCAUGCACGAAAGCGUGGGGAGCGAACAGGAUUAGAUACCCCUGUAGUCCCUGUCUCUUAUAC